GAUGAACGCUGGCGGCGUGCCUAAUACAUGCAAGUCGAGCGAACGGACGAGAAGCUUGCUUCUCUGAUGUUAGCGGCGGACGGGUGAGUAACACGUGGAUAACCUACCUAUAAGACUGGGAUAACUUCGGGAAACCGGAGCUAAUACCGGAUAAUAUUUUGAACCGCAUGGUUCAAAAGUGAAAGACGGUCUUGCUGUCACUUAUAGAUGGAUCCGCGCUGCAUUAGCUAGUUGGUAAGGUAACGGCUUACCAAGGCAACGAUGCAUAGCCGACCUGAGAGGGUGAUCGGCCACACUGGCACUGAGACACGGUCCAGACUCCUACGGGAGGCAGCAGUAGGGAAUCUUCCGCAAUGGGCGAAAGCCUGACGGAGCAACGCCGCGUGAGUGAUGAAGGUCUUCGGCUCGUAAAACUCUGUUAUUAGGGAAGAACAUAUGUGUAAGUAACUGUGCACAUCUUGACGGUACCUAACCAGAAAGCCACGGCUAACUACGUG
rnacentral:rRNA from 1 species